rnacentral:rRNA from 1 species
UACGGGGGGAGCAAGCGUUGUUCGGAUUUACUGGGCGUAAAGGGCGCGUAGGCGGCGUGACAAGUCACUUGUGAAAUCUCCGGGCUUAACUCGGAACGGUCAAGUGAUACUGUCGUGCUAGAGUACAGAAGGGGCAACUGGAAUUCCCGGUGUAGUGGUGGAAUGCGUAGAUAUCGGGAGGAACACCAGUGGCGAAGGCAGCUUCGUGGUCCAUACCUGACGCUUAUGCACGAAAGCGUGGGGAGCAAACAGG